rnacentral:rRNA from 1 species
CCUACGGGAGGCAGCAGUGGGGAAUUUUGGACAAUGGGGGCAACCCUGAUCCAGCCAUGCCGCGUGCGGGAAGAAGGCCUUCGGGUUGUAAACCGCUUUUAGUCGGGAAGAAAAGGCAAGGGCUAACAGCUCUUGUUCUUGACGGUACCGGCGGAAUAAGCACCGGCUAACUACGUGCCAGCAGCCGCGGUAAUACGUAGGGUGCGAGCGUUAAUCGGAAUUACUGGGCGUAAAGCGUGCGCAGGCGGUUCGUUAAGUUCGAUGUGAAAGCCCCGGGCUCAACCUGGGAAUGGCAUUGGAAACUGGCGAGCUUGAGUGUGGCAGAGGGGGGUGGAAUUCCGCGUGUAGCAGUGAAAUGCGUAGAGAUGCGGAGGAACACCGAUGGCGAAGGCAGCCCCCUGGGCCAACACUGACGCUCAGGCACGAAAGCGUGGGGAGCAAACAGGAUUAGAUACCCUGGUAGUCCACGCCCUAAACGAUGCUCACUAGGUGUUGGGGAAGCGAUUCCUUGGUACCGUAGCUAACGCGUGAAGUGAGCCGCCUGGGGAGUACGGCCGCAAGGUUAAAACUCAAAGGAAUUGACGG